rnacentral:rRNA from 1 species
CGGCGGACGGGUGAGUAACACGUGGGUAACCUGCCUGUAAGACUGGGAUAACUCCGGGAAACCGGGGCUAAUACCGGAUGCUUGAUUGAACCGCAUGGUUCAAUCAUAAAAGGUGGCUUUCAGCUACCACUUGCAGAUGGACCCGCGGCGCAUUAGCUAGUUGGUGAGGUAACGGCUCACCAAGGCGACGAUGCGUAGCCGACCUGAGAGGGUGAUCGGCCACACUGGGACUGAGACACGGCCCAAACUCCUACGGGAGGCAGCAGUGGUCA